rnacentral:snoRNA from 1 species
UAAUGAUGAUGAGGGAAAUUUUUGAGCAUACUUUUAAAUCUCUCCCAAGCUUGAUAAAGAUUCUCUCAUUCUUUCUGUGUGAAACUCAGAAUAUCACUUCUCAAAUA